AUGAACGCUAGCUACAGGCUUAACACAUGCAAGUCGAGGGGCAGCAUGGUCUUAGCUUGCUAAGGCCGAUGGCGACCGGCGCACGGGUGAGUAACACGUAUCCAACCUGCCGUCUACUCUUGGACAGCCUUCUGAAAGGAAGAUUAAUACAAGAUGGCAUCAUGAGUCCGCAUGUUCACAUGAUUAAAGGUAUUCCGGUAGACGAUGGGGAUGCGUUCCAUUAGAUAGUAGGCGGGGUAACGGCCCACCUAGUCUUCGAUGGAUAGGGGUUCUGAGAGGAAGGUCCCCCACAUUGGAACUGAGACACGGUCCAAACUCCUACGGGAGGCAGCAGUGAGGAAUAUUGGUCAAUGGGCGAGAGCCUGAACCAGCCAAGUAGCGUGAAGGAUGACUGCCCUAUGGGUUGUAAACUUCUUUUAUAAAGGAAUAAAGUCGGGUAUGGAUACCCGUUUGCAUGUACUUUAUGAAUAAGGAUCGGCUAACUCCGUGCCAGCAGCCGCGGUAAUACGGAGGAUCCGAGCGUUAUCCGGAUUUAUUGGGUUUAAAGGGAGCGUAGAUGGAUGUUUAAGUCAGUUGUGAAAGUUUGCGGCUCAACCGUAAAAUUGCAGUUGAUACUGGAUAUCUUGAGUGCAGUUGAGGCAGGCGGAAUUCGUGGUGUAGCGGUGAAAUGCUUAGAUAUCACGAAGAACUCCGAUUGCGAAGGCAGCCUGCUAAGCUGCAACUGACAUUGAGGCUCGAAAGUGUGGGUAUCAAACAGGAUUAGAUACCCUGGUAGUCCACACGGUAAACGAUGAAUACUCGCUGUUUGCGAUAUACGGCAAGCGGCCAAGCGAAAGCGUUAAGUAUUCCACCUGGGGAGUACGCCGGCAACGGUGAAACUCAAAGGAAUUGACGGGGGCCCGCACAAGCGGAGGAACAUGUGGUUUAAUUCGAUGAUACGCGAGGAACCUUACCCGGGCUUAAAUUGCAGAUGAAUUACGGUGAAAGCCGUAAGCCGCAAGGCAUCUGUGAAGGUGCUGCAUGGUUGUCGUCAGCUCGUGCCGUGAGGUGUCGGCUUAAGUGCCAUAACGAGCGCAACCCUUCUCCCCAGUUGCCAUCGGGUAAUGCCGGGCCCUCUGGGGACACUGCCAUCGUAAGAUGCGAGGAAGGUGGGGAUGACGUCAAAUCAGCACGGCCCUUACGUCCGGGGCUACACACGUGUUACAAUGGGGGGUACAGAGGGCCGCUACCACGCGAGUGGAUGCCAAUCCCAAAAACCUCUCUCAGUUCGGACUGGAGUCUGCAACCCGACUCCACGAAGCUGGAUUCGCUAGUAAUCGCGCAUCAGCCACGGCGCGGUGAAUACGUUCCCGGGCCUUGUACACACCGCCCGUCAAGCCAUGGGAGCCGGGGGUACCUGAAGUGCGUAACCGCGAGGAGCGCCCUAGGGUAAAACUGGUGACUGGGGCU
rnacentral:rRNA from 1 species